GUGCUCGCUUCAGCAGCACAUAUGCUAAAAUUGGAACGAUACAGAGAAGAUUAGCAUGGCCCCUGCGCAAGGAUGACACGUAAAUUCGUGAAGCAUUCUAUAUUUUU
ensembl:snRNA U6 U6 spliceosomal RNA